AGCAGCUCUGAUCUGCCCCCUGAGACACCUAGGAGGGCAUGGGAGAGUACAACAUCUAAUUCCUCCUUUAAGGAGAGUUCACCAUCGGAGGAAGUGUCCUCAAAGGAGAUCACUGUGUGGAGGGAUCCGGUGGUCCACUAUUCAUCAUCUGAGAUAGAUCCCCCAGAGGAGAGG